rnacentral:rRNA from 1 species
AUUGAACGCUGGCGGCAGGCCUAACACAUGCAAGUCGAGCGGAUGAAGGGAGCUUGCUCCUGGAUUCAGCGGCGGACGGGUGAGUAAUGCCUAGGAAUCUGCCUUGUAGUGGGGGAUAACGUCCGGAAACGGGCGCUAAUACCGCAUACGUCCUGAGGGAGAAAGUGGGGGAUCUUCGGACCUCACGCUAUCAGAUGAGCCUAGGUCGGAUUAGCUAGUUGGUGGGGUAAAGGCCUACCAAGGCGACGAUCCGUAACUGGUCUGAGAGGAUGAUCAGUCACACUGGAACUGAGACACGGUCCAGACUCCUACGGGAGGCAGCAGUGGGGAAUAUUGGACAAAGGGCGAAAGCCUGAUCCAGCCAUGCCGCGUGUGUGAAGAAGGUCUUCGGAUUGUAAAGCACUUUAAGUUGGGAGGAAGGGCAGUAAGUUAAUACCUUGCUGUUUUGAAGUUACCAACAGAAUAAGCACCGGCUAACUUCGUG